GAUGAAGAACGUAGCGAAAUGCGAUAAGUAAUGUGAAUUGCAGAAUUCAGUGAAUCAUCGAAUCUUUGAACGCACAUUGGGCCCGCCAGUAUUCUGGCGGGCAUGCCUGUUCGAGCGUCAUUUCAACCAUCAAGCCCCCGGCUUGUGUUGGGGACCUGCGGCUGCCGCAGGCCCUGAAAACCAGUGGCGGGCUCGCUAGUCACUCCGAGCGUAGUAAUACAUCUCGCUCAGGGCGUGCUGCGGGUUCCGGCCGUUAAAAAGCCUUAUUUACCCAAGGUUGACCUCGGAUCAGGUAGGAAGACCCGCUGAACUUAAGCAUAUCAAUAAGCGGAGGA
rnacentral:misc_RNA from 1 species